AGUGAACGCUGGCGGCAGGCCUAACACAUGCAAGUCGAGCGGCAGCGGGUCCUUCGGGAUGCCGGCGAGCGGCGGACGGGUGAGGAAUGCGUCGGAAUCUGCCUUUUUGUGGGGGAUAACGUAGGUAAACUUACGCUAAUACCGCAUACGACCAACGGGUGAAAGUGGGGGACCGCAAGGCAUCACGCAGAAAGCUGAGCCGACGUCGGAUUAGCUAGUUGGCGGGGUAAAGGCCCACCAAGGCGACGAUCCGUAGCUGGUCUGAGAGGAUGAUCAGCCACACUGGAACUGAGACACGGUCCAGACUCCUACGGGAGGCAGCAGUGGGGAAUAUUGGACAAUGGGCGCAAGCCUGAUCCAGCCAUGCCGCGUGUGUGAAGAAGGCCUUCGGGUUGUAAAGCACUUUUGUCCGGAAAGAAAUCCUGUCGGCUAAUCCCCGGCGGGGAUGACGGUACCGGAAGAAUAAGCACCGGCUAACUUCGUG
rnacentral:rRNA from 1 species